rnacentral:lncRNA from 10 species
CCCAGGCCUGUGGAGACAAAACCAAGUAAGACAGAAUUGCUAUCUACAGCAGCUCAUAAAGUGAAAACCUCAUCCUUAAAGUGAUGAAACAAAGACUAACUGACCAUCUGUUAAGGAUCCUGAAUUAGAUAGUGAAGUAUGUGACAACUAAAGUCCACUCUAAAAUGAACAUUUUAAGAGUCUGGCACCCCUACAGAGCUGGCAGAGAACUUUAGGGCGAGAUAAAAUAUUCAUUGAGAGUCUAGAAGAUUCCAAGGAAUACAAUAUAUUUUUGAACUGUGCUCACCAAGGUCUUUUAUGGUCACGAAAUUAUGUAUGAAGUUGGCAGCAAGUCAACCUUACCUUAGGGUUUCACUGACACCUAGUGGUUAUAAUCUAAAAUGUUAAAAGACAACAUACAAUGAUCACAAAAAUGUUCGUAUUUAUAAAAAUCAUAAAUGAAUAUAGUGAUAAAAAUUCAUUCAUUUUGAAUUCUCUUUUCAAAAAGAAGUUAAAAUUGCUUAAAUGGCAUCUUAUAUCUGAAAUAUUUUUAUGCUAAAAUUUCAAACUCUUUAACACUUGAUUAUAAGCAAGCCUAUAAUGCUAUUAGCUUAUCUUUUAACUCAUAUCUUUCAGUUAUGUUAUUCUCUUGUUUAUGAAAAACAGAAGAACAUCAUCUAAAUGAUCAGUUUAUUGAAUUUUAGUAAUGUAAGUUGAGAUCAUGAAACAUACAAUCUAAUUCAAAAGAAGAAUCAUAGGUACCAAUUCAACACCAUUAGCACUACUUUCACAAUAGUGACACCCCACUUAUAACACUCUUUUUUGGGUCUCUGACUGUGAACAAGAUUGUGGAAGGUUGGUUGAGGUUAGGCCUAGGCAUUACGGUUAAGAAAUAACAGAUGCUAAUUAGUUAGUGGGGAAGUGAAGCUCAUGUUUAGGCCUUUUCAUAAUGUCUUUAUGCUAAAUAAAUUAAAUGAAGUAAACAGCCAUGGCUAUUGAACUACAGAAUACAUAAAAAUACAUUCUGUGAUUCACCUAUAAACAAAAGAGUAAAGCAGAAUGUGUCAAAUUUUCCAUAGCAGGUAAAGCAUAGAAAAAAAAUCUAGCUGAUAUAAUGUGUUACCUCUAAGCUUUCUCACAGCGACAAUGCCCUAACCUCUCAAUUAUUUUGAUUUCUCUCUAGGAUGGACUAGGAUUGCAAUUAAGCUUAACCAGUUCAGUGUGGGGUUUAUAGAUAUCUACUUCUUUCAAUAAAUUGAAUUAAUUUAUGGAUUUAUAGAGCAUAGGUCUGGCAUCUGCAAAGUGUUUAAUGGACUGGAUCAUUCUAAAGGAGAAUUAGAAGAUUAUGAAAGAUAAUCAACUUCAAAUCAAUUUUAAGGUUUUUUUUUUUUGAGAAGGAGUCUCACUCUGUC